CUUUAUUAAAUAAAUCACAAACUGGAUCAACAGGAAUGAAGCUAUGAGGAAACUGAAGCUCCUCGCCUUUCCUCAGAACUGAACUGGACCCAACAGAACCGGUUCAGCAGAACCCGAAGCAGCCAAUCAGCUGAGAGUCCAGGGCCACUGGGAGGAUCUCUGGUUCCAGUUCAGACGGUGAUCUGGUGACAGAGGAGAGCAGCUGAUGAAGAAAACCUCUCAGUUUGUUCUGGUUUCUCUCUGAGAGGAAGAGGAUGAUGAUGAUGAUGAUGAUGAUGAUGAUGGUCCUCCUGCUCGUUUCCCAGCAUGCCCUGUGUGGGGUGGUAGAGGUCACCGUGGGGUCGCAGUCUGUCCUGCUGCCCUGUCAUUACUCUGGCAUCGUACCUGAAGAGCCCGUCGUCACCUGGACCACUGGGGACGUGGGUCCCGCCUGCGUCCACCUGAGACGGGAGCAGGACGACCUGAGGACGCAGCAUGAGCGGUACCGGGGCCGGACACGCAUGGCGCCCGGGGCGCUGGACUCUGGCGACUUCAGCUUGACCCUGAGUGACCCCCGAUCCGCCGACCAAGGUACCUACACCUGCAGCCUGAGCGACGGGAGAGGACGCCGCACACUCAGGGUCAGUCAGCUUAGGGUCAGAGACGACCAGGUGGAGGUGAAGACGGUGGAAGGAGCCGAUUCUGUGGUCCUGCCCUGCAGAAUGCCGCCUGAUCUGCCCGGCGACAGCAGAGUGGAGUGGACCCGCUCAGAACCAGAACCUCUGCUGGUCCACGUGUUCCAGAACACGAGCCGACCCGGAACCAGGCAGGAUGACCUUUACUGCAGCCGCACCCACAUGAAGCAGGACCUGCUGCGGACCGGCGACCUCAGCCUGACCCUGAGGUUCCCCACCGCCUGGGACAGGGGGCGCUACGUCUGCACCGUGUACCGCGGCGAGGACGUCCUGAGCCGGGCUGUGGUACUGCAGCACGUCACAGAACAGUUCCCCCUGCAGGCUAAAGUUCUGCUGGUUCUCCCGGUUCUCCUGCUCGCUGCUCUCUUUGCCUCUGGCGCUCUUCUCUAUUAUUUUCGACACUACAUCCUGUCAGUCUACACGGUGAAGGUGGAUGCAGGGGCGGAGUCUGUCCUGCUGCCCUGCAAAUCCAGAGUCCGUCUGCCCGAAGACGCCAAGGUGGACUGGAGGACCAGCACCAACCUGAAGGUUCACGUGUAUCUACAGGGUUGUGAUCGGUCGGAGGAGCAGCACCGGGCUUACCGCAACCGGACCCGGAUAAACCAAGACCCGCUGAAAACCGGGGACCUGAGUCUGACGCUGCAGCGCCCCCUAGAUGUGGACGGAGACACCUACACCUGCAUUGUCUGCAGCGGAGAGGGACACAUCCUGCUGAAGAAGGAUGUGAAGCUUCGUGUCAGAGUCCCACAGGUGGAGGUGGAACCAGGGGCGGAGUCUGUCCUGCUGCCCUGCAGAACCACAGAGAAUCUGGAUGGAGCCGUUAAGGUGGAGUGGAGGGACAGAUUUAACUGGACGGUCCAUGUGUAUCAGGACGGUUCUGAUCAGCCUGCAGAUCAACACCGGCUCUACAGAACCAGAACCAAGAUGGAUGAAAACCCGCUGAGGACUGGAGACCUCAGUCUGACUCUCAGAUGGCCCAGUGAUGGAGACAGUAACACCUUCACCUGCAGCGCCUCCAACAGGAAGGGAGAAAAACUGAUGGAGAAACAAGUGAAGCUGCAGGUCACUGUCCCACAGGUGGAGGUGGAACCAGGGGUGGAGUCUGUCCUGCUGCCCUGCAGAACCAGAAAGAAUCUGCCUGGAGACGUUAGAGUGGAGUGGAGGGACAGAGACGACAAGACGGUCCAUGUGUAUCAGAACGGUUCUGAUCAGCCUGGAGAACAGAACAGAUCCUACAGAACCAGAACCAAGAUGGAGGAAGAUCCACUGAGAACUGGAGACCUCAGUCUGACUCUGAGACGACCCACUGACGAAGACAGCAACAUCUACACCUGCAGCGUCUCCAAAGGGGACGGAGACAUCCUGAUGAAGAAACAAGUAAAGCUCCAGGUCAAAGGUCAGUGGGGUCAAAGGUACCAGUACUGGAGCUAACUUUUGUUUCUGCUCCCCAACUUUUCACUCAAAUGUAGAAGUUGCCACUGUGGGAUUUUAAUUCAUUAACAGAGGGAGACAGACUGAUGAGGUGAUGCAUGCAGACACAGUGUCCUUUAUUCCCUGGGUCAGCAGCAGCAGCUAGCUUGGCCAACGUCAACAAUCAGGACUAUAAGACCUUAAAAUCCAUCAGUUAUGCUGCAGGUUUUAAAUACAUUUAACACAACAGUCUUUAGUGCAAUGUGGCAGAAUAGUUUUCUAAGAACAUUAAGAUGAGAAUCUUAGAUUUUUCCUGCAGCGCCUCCUCAUGGUGCUUCUGAUAAAUGUUUUCUCUGAUGUCAGGUCUGUAGCCCUGUUAGCGCCAAGAUGUCUGAUUAUUCUCAUGUCCUGCUGUCUGUCUGUCUGUCUGAGCUAAAGAAUCAAUCUGUACAUGAACUCUGGAGAAAACCUGCCGCUGCUGUGAACCAGUGGAGAGCUCUCUGCUCCUCUCUGGUAACAUUUACAGUCAAAGUUACAGAUUUUCUCCGAUAUGGUCUGAUGUGCUGCGUUUUAUCUCCUCUGCUGCCAGUGGGAUCAGCCUUUGAGAAGAAGUUUCCAUAGCAACAGAUUGUAAAAACCAGGGUUCAGUCCUUGAAUGAGGCGUUCAGCUUGGUCCACAUGGGCAGCUACCCAGGGCGGCAUCUUGUGGGGGCAGCAUGAGAGGCUAGACCUUCAAGGAUUUUACACAUUUACACAAGUUUGUCUUGUAAAUGAGACAAUGAGUUUCAAGAAAUUUCCCAAUAUAAAUACAGGAGUAAUAACAUUUCUGCCACAGUUAAAGGACCUUUGGUUAAACAAACUUCAGGUCUCAAGUUUUCCAGCUAAUCCUCCAUGUUUGGAGAAAAUCUUCUUUCUGUCCUGCAGGUUAGGAGAAAAGGCUCCACAUGUGAGUCUAUGGGUCCCAAAGGUUAAAGGUGGUGCUUCUUGGUGAACUACAUUAUAUGUAACUUUUGUGAUGUUAACAAAGAUGUCGUCUCACACUAUGAAUGCUGGGAGAUGUGGUCCAAUCAGUGUGUUUGGGUAAAUGGACGUUCGACACAAUCUGUCAGGUGGAGGUGAAGGAGGGGGCGGAGUCUGUCCUGCUGCCGUUCAGAACAACACCUGACCUGCCUGGAGACGCU